GGCUCCAUAUCUCAUCAAAAACAAGAAGGAAGAAAGAAAUGAGGAACACAGAACUGACGUGUCCUGUUAUUUUGUUGAGUCAUUCUCGGUCAUGUUUGCUGACUGAUGCUUCUCUCCUGACUGCCCAGAAGAGACAACAGCUCAGGCCCAGGACCCUUUCCCAUCCUUGGCCACACAGGGAGGGACAGCAAGGAAGAAAAGGCCCCAGUACAGCCUGUUCAUUCAGCGUCUCCCAGGCGGGGCCCAGGCGUCUCUUCUCUGAGUGAGUCUGCAGAGUCCUACACGGCUUCUGGUCACGUAUCCACUAGAAGUUAUAGAUUUGACUCUCGGUGAGUGUGAGCUGCUCGGCAGCAUGGAUUUAACCAGAGGUGAUGUCUCCAAUCACCGGUAUCUGAGACGUUUCCAGCAUCACUCUGCACACUCAGGAGCUCCUGGUAGAAGGCAUGGCGAAGGGAUCCCUGCUAAUAUUCUUCAGAAAAUGGAAACUCAGGGUGGCCAAUGGCACUAAAAUGAGAAAGAACAAUGGGUAAUGUGGAUACCAUGAUGGUAUUUCUAAGGUGACACAAACACAGUUUCUAUGAAGCUGACAAUAGGGUAAAAAUUCUAUUCUCUUUG